CCUACGGGAUGCACCAGUGGGGAAUAUUGGACAAUGGGCGCAAGCCUGAUCCAGCCAUGCCGCGUGAGUGAAGAAGGCCUUAGGGUUGUAAAGCUCUUUCACCGGUGGAGAUAAUGACGGUAACCGGAGAAGAAGCCCCGGCUAACUUCGUGCCAGCAGCCGCGGUAAUACGAAGGGGGCUAGCGUUGUUCGGAAUUACUGGGCGUAAAGCGCGCGUAGGCGGAUAGAUAAGUCAGAGGUGAAAUCCCGGGGCUCAACCCCGGAAUUGCCUUUGAUACUGUUUAUCUUGAGUGCAGAAGAGGUAAGUGGAAUUCCGAGUGUAGAGGUGAAAUUCGUAGAUAUUGGGAAGAACACCGGUGGUGAAGGCGGCAACCUGGCUCGAUACUGACGCUGGGGCGCGAAAGCGUGGGGAGCAAACAGGAUUAGAUACCCCUGUAGUC
rnacentral:rRNA from 1 species